rnacentral:rRNA from 1 species
AACGAACGCUGGCGGCGUGCCUAAUACAUGCAAGUCGAGCGGAUCUUCAUUAGCUUGCUUUUGAAGAUCAGCGGCGGACGGGUGAGUAACACGUGGGCAACCUGCCUGUAAGACUGGGAUAACUUCGGGAAGCCGGAGCUAAUACCGGAUAAUCCUUUUCCUCUCAUGGGGAAAAGCUGAAAGACGGUUUCGGCUGUCACUUACAGAUGGGCCCGCGGCGCAUUAGCUAGUUGGUGAGGUAACGGCUCACCAAGGCGACGAUGCGUAGCCGACCUGAGAGGGUGAUCGGCCACACUGGGACUGAGACACGGCCCAGACUCCUACGGGAGGCAGCAGUAGGGAAUCUUCCGCAAUGGACGAAAGUCUGACGGAGCAACGCCGCGUGAGCGAUGAAGGCCUUCGGGUCGUAAAGCUCUGUUGUCAGGGAAGAACAAGUACCGGAGUAACUGCCGGUACCUUGACGGUACCUGACCAGAAAGCCACGGCUAACUACGUGCCCGCAGCCGCCGCGGUAA